UACGGAGGGUGCAAGCGUUAUCCGGAUUCACUGGGUUUAAAGGGUGCGUAGGUGGCUUUGUAAGUCAGUGGUGAAAUGCCGCAGCUCAACUGCGGAACUGCCAUUGAUACUAUAGGUCUUGAAUUAUCUGGAGGUGAGCGGAAUAUGUCAUGUAGCGGUGAAAUGCUUAGAUAUGACAUAGAACACCAAUUGCGAAGGCAG
rnacentral:rRNA from 1 species